CCUACGGGAGGCAGCAGUAGGGAAUAUUGCUCAAUGGGGGAAACCCUGAAGCAGCAACGCCGCGUGGAGGAUGAAGGUUUUCGGAUUGUAAACUCCUUUUGUUAGAGAAGAUAAUGACGGUAUCUAACGAAUAAGCACCGGCUAACUCCGUGCCAGCCGCCGCGGUAAUACGGAGGGUGCAAGCGUUACUCGGAAUCACUGGGCGUAAAGGGCGCGUAGGCGGGAUAGCAAGUCAGAUGUGAAAGCCUAUGGCUUAACCAUAGAACUGCAUUUGAAACUGUUAUUCUAGAGUAUGGGAGAGGUAGGUGGAAUUCUUGGUGUAGGGGUAAAAUCCGUAGAGAUCAAGAGGAAUACUCAUUGCGAAGGCGACCUGCUAGAACAUAACUGACGCUGAUGCGCGAAAGCGUGGGGAGCAAACAGGAUUAGAUACCCCAGUAGUC
rnacentral:rRNA from 1 species